CUCGACAAUGGAUAUCUCGGCUCUCGCAUCGAUGAAGAACAUAUUGAAAUGCGAUACUUGGUGUGAAUUGCAGAAUCUCAUGAACCAUUGAGUUUUUGAACGCAAGUUGCGCCCAAAGCCUUCUGGCUGAGGGCACAUCUUCCUGGGCAUCACG
rnacentral:rRNA from 1 species